UACAGAGGCCUCGAGCGUUAGGCGGAAUCACUGGGCUUAAAGCGUGUGUAGGCGGAUCGUUAAGUACCUUGUGAAAUCCCACGGCUUAACCGUGGAACUGCUUGGUAUACUGGCGAUCUUGUGCCACCGAGGGGCGAGCGGAACAGAUGGUGGAGCGGUGAAAUGCGUAGAGAUCGGGAGGAACAUCAGUGGCGAAGGCGGCCCUCCGGACCAGUACUGACGCUGAGGCACGAAAGCGUGGGGAGCAAACAGG
rnacentral:rRNA from 1 species